rnacentral:rRNA from 1 species
GGAAUCUUAGACAAUGGGGGAAACCCUGAUCUAGCGAUGCCGCGUGAGUGAUGAAGGCCCUAGGGUCGUAAAGCUCUUUCGCCUGGGAAGAUAAUGACUGUACCUGUUAAAGAAACCCCGGCUAACUCCGUGCCAGCAGCCGCGGUAAUACGGAGGGGGUUAGCGUUGUUCGGAAUUACUGGGCGUAAAGCUCACGUAGGCGGAUCAGAAAGUAAGAGGUGAAAUCCCAGGGCUCAACCCUGGAACUGCCUUUUAAACUCCUGGUCUUGAGUUCGAGAGAGGUGAGUGGAAUUCCAAGUGUAGAGGUGAAAUUCGUAGAUAUUUGGAGGAACACCAGUGGCGAAGGCGGCUCACUGGCUCGAUACUGACGCUGAGGUGCGAAAGCGUGGGGAGCAAAC